GUUACCUCGGAUGCUUGCAUCUGUGAGAUCUGUCACCUAAUUUUGCUUAUACUGUAAUACAUGUACAAAGAAAUAUCCGCAAAUGGCUGAUUCUGAAUUACCAAAAUAUUGCAUUG